AUGAACUUACUGCGCCAGUUGAAAUUCACACGCACCAACAAAGUGCGGGGGUACGUGCGUGGGGGUCUGUCCUUUGCUGCUGCAGGGUGGGCAUCAGGUCAGCUGAGUCACCCGAGGAGGUGGGAGUGCAAGACACUGCCGGGAAGACGGAUUCCGAGGCAGAAGGGUGUAAUUAAGGAUUUCCACCCCCGUUCCCACCGCAGCGCGGGCUCCCGGCUCCCCAACCCCCGCCCCUUGGCUGCGAGAAAGCCCUCCUCCGAGCUUCCGAAACUGCUGGAAGUUCCAGAGUUUUGUAGCUGCGAACCGGCGACCUCAGCCCUGAGCCGAACCGCUCUCUGGCUCGGCGGUCCGCGGGAUCCUUCAGGCACCUUUCAGGUCCGGGAGGAGGCGGCUGCUGGGGUGGGGCGUGCGCGCUUGGGGCGGCCGGCCGACUGCGCGCGGCUCACCGUGGGCGCCCGAGGGUCUCCCCGGCCUCCCCUGGGACUCGCCGCCCGCCCGCCGGUGGAGGGCUGGGAGCCCACGACCAGGCCUGCCCGGGCCGCCGCCGCCGCCGACCAGUCCUCGGAAGCCUGAUGGAAACUGGUGCGCUUCUAGCAUCCUGGCACCACCCAUCACUUUCAGCUUCAGAGCGGAUUCCGCUGACCUGUACCUAACUUGACUCCACCGCUAGGAAAUCCACUUGCCUUUGUAACUACCGUGCAGAACCAGAAACAGAUCGAUCACUGGGAGAACAAGGCGACGAUGCUUCCUAGGAAAGCCUUGAACCUUUAUGAUAGAUAGUUUCUCCAAAGUUUGGGGUAGGCUUGACGAGGAGAUCCCUGAACUCGAACUAGUGUGCCCAGACCCACAACCCGAGUUCUGGAAGUUGCUAAGUGCUCGAGCGCAGCUCAGGGAUUAGGGAAGUCUUGGUAGUAAGCGAACCCGACCCGGCUCUCAGGGCGCUGCUGACGGAAAGCAGGACGCACACAUCUUUGCAGAAGAAUCUAGAGUCGCCCUGGGGUAGAUCCGUCUCCUUUUGCAACUGAAUUUCACACUUGAGAAAGAUAAGAUCGUGGGGCAGAUGAAUGAUAUCCCCCCACUCAUUCUACUCAUUCUCAUUAUUAAAAAAAAAAAAAAAGCUUAUCCAUUAUGAAAGUAUGUCCCAGAUAUUACAAGACGAUCAUGCAAACUACUUGAAAUUUGAAUCCGGACAUGAUCGUAAGGAAACCCUCAUAAAGCACGUUUGUGGCCCAGUUCUCUCUCACACACAAAAGUAUUAGAUCUUUUAAAACUUUUCUAAGUAUCUAAGUAAGUGAGACGGCCUCUUACUAUCUAGGAAAACACAAUAAAGAGACUGCCCCAAUCCUAAAGAGGCCAGAACUGAAGAGCUACAUUGUGGGAGUUAAGGGAUGCUUCUUUUCAGCUCUUUUUUUCUAGAAUCCUCAUUAUAGCUAACGCUGGUAAUAAAGGUAGGAAACAAUAGAACUCAUAAAACACAGAAACGGUAAACGGUAAUAAAUCUUGGCUCCUGUCUCCAACCCAGUUCCUUCUUACAUGACAUUCAAAGUUUUUCAGUAUGCAAUAGUGAACAUUCACACUAUGGUUGCAAUAUAGAAGAAAUAACUCUAGAACUCAUUAAUACGGCCCUGCGCACACUAUGCAGGCGUCGCUGGUGGACAAAGCUCGCAGGUGUCCUCCUCUACAUCUGCCUGCGCUUGUAAUCCAGGCAGCUUAUGUGUGUUAAAUUUGGGUCUCUCUCUCUCUCUCUCUCUCUCUCUCUCUCUCUCUCUCUCUCUCUCUCUCUCUCUCUCUCUCUCUUCUCUCUCUCUCUCUCAUACAAAGAAGUCCCAUCAUUUGAGGAAGAGCUGAUGUUGUGCAGUGCCAAACUGUACCACAGGCUUCCUCCUUCAAAUGAAUCCCUGGAAAGCAGAGAGGCAGCUCGCUACGUGACCAUCAUGCUUUUUGCCUCACUGAACUGUUGUCAAGAGAGGGCGGGGAUGGUGGGCAGCUCACGCCGCGCUCUCCGCAGCAAUAAAAACUGGAGCGGGAAAAGAAAUGCAAGACAUCGGUGUCUGUUUUGUAAGCCUCUGGCCGCUCUCAGCAAACUGCCUGGCGCGGCUGGUGACUUUGCGGUGUGAACGCAGCCGGUCGUGCCCGGGAUAAUGGGACCGAGCUGGCGGCAUCGCCCUUUCGUGGGCCCCUCUUGUCACACAGAUGCGCAGCUCUCCGAAAGGAAAACGUGACCCAGCUCCCCUCGCAGCACCUGGCCCUACUGCUAGGAAUGCCUGCCUGCGGCCUUUGCACCUCCAAAAAGUGCUCGGGAGGAAGAGAAUGGGCCGAACCUCCGGAUUCCAUUUGGGGAAGAGGAGCCAGGGCCACCAGCACCCUGCCCUGCUGCUCCGCCUCCGGGUGGGCCAAGUCUCAGCAGAGUGUCGCAGCCCACCUGAAUGUGACACCUGUCCAUUUUAGUCAGCAUCACAGGCGCCUUCCGUUUCUCCCCUUUGGGGGCUGUCCUUUUUCUCCUCCUAAAGAGCCAGCUUGGACCUGAAGGGGCCGGGUAGCAGCUGUUUGUGCCUCUCUCCCGUGCGGACCCACAGUCUCAGCAGCCACUUCCUCCUUUGACGCGCGAGGCUUACAGGCACGCAGAAAGGGAACACUGGGUCAGGCAGGUAUUAGGCUCUCCUAGGAGACUGUGGACAUCACUGGACUUGCUUACAUCUGCUCUAGCACACUGAGGCAUGAGCUGCCUGCCUGCUGGGUUCAAACCCAGUAGCUGCCCUGUCUGUAACCUCUCCCACUCAAGAGACCCUAGGAACGAUGAGGAACGGGGUAGAAAUGACCAGGGGAGAGAAAUCGCAGGUACCUAGACCUUCCAGAUCACCCCUUGAAGACCAGGAAAGCCAGUAACCCGCAUAUGCCCCAAAGGAGGUUACGUCUCAACUGAAAAACAGCAAAAACGUGGUGGGCGACUUCAAAACAGGCUAAAGGGUGGAGCCGCCGAGCAAAAUCCCAAUUCGAGGCACCUGAGGUAUUUUCCUUACAGAAAUGGCUUCACAGGUAGCAAGUGAUUGAUGUGCAACAGUGAACAACAUUAAAACUUACAUUUUUCAUGGAAGUCUCUCAGGUAGCCUUAAAGUUUUUAUUGGGUGGAGUUCCCCCCUCCCUCCACUGGCAAAAAAAAAAUAACUUAUCCCUUGGCUAUUAGACUGAGGGAAUGUAAAACAAAUAUGUUUAAUUUGAUCACUGACAAAGUGAUAAAAUUAAAUGACUGUAGUGGAAAAUAUGCUUUCAUGAUUUUAAUUAAAGCAUGAUAAGCCUCUCUCAGUGUGUAUGCAUUUUGGAGCCACUGGGUGGACUGGUGAUGAGACAAAGCAACCUUUAACUGGGACUGUGCUCCUCCAGUGCAUUCGCUUGUAUUCCAUGGUGUAAACCUGGCCUAUGUGUAGCUCCGACCUUUGGUGAAAUGCUUAUGUGUAGCAGCACCCAAGGGUUCCUUGCUUUGCCUAGAGCUUCAUUAAAGACCCCAGGUUUCACAAAGGAUUUUGAACACCAGUGUCUUUUAACGUGGAACUCUCAGUUUUGGUUUCGCUCUGUGAAUGUGUUUCACACUUGCUAUAUUAUUCCACAUUGAAAGUUGGAACCUUUAUAAUUAAGAGUUAUCAUGGAGUACCUUUUAAAAUCUGACAUAUUUUCUAUAAACGAGUUUUCAGUGAGUAGAGUAUAUAGUGCACUCAAAGUAGGCAUUAGCUGCUGGCAAGGUGUAUGAUAAAAUAGUGACACUACAGGGCAAUUUUUUAGUAACACCCUUUGGAUAUUUCAGGGUACAGCUUAUAUGUUAACUUGUAACUGUAGGUUAAAAAUACAGGUAUCAAGUGACUAUAAAUCAGUAUCAGACAAAUUGAACAUCUUUUCAUUUCCCACAAGUACCCUGCUCUUUCUCCUCCCUUUGGUGAACCCUUAGUCUGUAAUACCCUGUAUCCUGGGACCCUGGAACACAUUGUGUUUAAAGCACUGAUUAGUGGUAUUCUCCUCCCUUAGCAGUGCUUCCACUGUGUUUUCUGCAUGUAAUAAAGGUUGGCACUGUUCUUCGUAUAGGCCUUUCCCAAUAGCUGCGAGCUCUUGGAGUGUAGGGGCUUGACCUUAUGCCUCUUUGGACACGCAAGCCUAGCACAUGGGCUGGCAUAUAGCAGCUGCUUAAUAAAUAUUUAUUGAAUGAAUCAGUCGAUACAUGAAAAAAAUAUAUGCAUUGUCUUUAGCCUUUCUGACUUUCUCUUUAAAAUAGGGAUAUGUCAUAAAUAAAAUUUACCUUGAAAAUGUAUUAAGUACAUUUUUCUAUUUCUCUGACCAUCAACUUUUUCAGGGGACGUCGUUUUAAAAUUCUGGUCAUUACAAUGAACCACUUUUGACCUUGAUUGACUUCUCAGAAACGUAACAAAACAUUGAGAAAAGACGAAGAGAUCAAAUUUUGUUUUUUUCUUUUUCAGUAGGAUAUUAUGUUUACUGAAAUUUGGAAACAAAUUGUAGCAAGCACCUAUAACAUGUGGACACUCCCGUUUUUAUAUUAAAUAUGACAUUAUUUAUAUAACCCUAUUGUCUUCCAAAUUUCCUUUGAAUUUUUAGUGGUAAGGAGCAUAGAGCCUAAGAUGACUGCUUUUCAUUUCUUCAAGACAAGGAUUCAGCUGGUAUUGGGGAAACAAUCUCUGUUUGUUCCUGUCUGCUCAUGAGGACUGUUUCUAAUUGAUCUGGCAUGGAAUUUAGUUGGCGAUGUGUAUGUUGCAACUGAAGCGCAGAGCCUGUGUGCUUUGUAAAGUGAUAACCAUAUGGGCCUUAUUUGAAACAUUUGAGGAUUUUCGACAUUAACCUGGGUUAAAUUGAGCUAUAAAUUCAACUCAAAUGUAUAUGUCCCGACAAAUUCAUCAUCACUUUGGGUAGAUUCGAGCCAUGCUCCUCUCAGAUUAAUAAAGAUGAUGACCGCUUUUCACAAA